CGUGAGUGAUGAAGGCUUUCGGGUCGUAAAGCUCUGUCAAGUGGGAAGAAACCAUAUGGUAUUAAUAUCGCCAUAUGCUGACGGUACCACUGAAGGAAGCACCGGCUAACUCCGUGCCAGCAGCCGCGGUAAUACGGGGGGUGCGAGCGUUAUUCGGAAUUACUGGGCGUAAAGAGCGCGUAGGCGGUCUUUUAAGUCAGGUGUGAAAGCCCGGGGCUCAACCCCGGAAGUGCACUUGAAACUAAGAGACUUGAGUAUGGGAGAGGGAAGUGGAAUUCCUGGUGUAGCGGUGAAAUGCGUAGAUAUCAGGAGGAACAUCGGUGGCGAAGGCGACUUCCUGGACCAAUACUGACGCUGAGGCGCGAAGGCGUGGGGAGCAAACAGGAUUAGAUACCCUGGUAGUCCACGCAGUAAACGGUGAACACUAGGUGUAGCGGGUAUUGACCCCUGCUGUGCCGCAGCAAACGCAUUAA
rnacentral:rRNA from 1 species